rnacentral:tRNA from 2 species
GUGCUUAUAGCUCAGCAGGAUAGAGCAGUCGCCUCCUAAGUGACCGAUGGGGGUUCGAGUCCCUCUAGGCACACCA